rnacentral:rRNA from 1 species
GUGGGGAAUAUUGGACAAUGGGGGGAACCCUGAUCCAGCCAUGCCGCGUGUGUGAAGAAGGCCUUUUGGUUGUAAAGCACUUUAAGCGAGGAGGAGGCUACCGAGAUUAAUACUCUUGGAUAGUGGACGUUACUCGCAGAAUAAGCACCGGCUAACUCUGUGCCAGCAGCCGCGGUAAUACAGAGGGUGCGAGCGUUAAUCGGAUUUACUGGGCGUAAAGCGCGCGUAGGUGGUUAAUUAAGUCAAAUGUGAGAUCCCCGAGCUUAACUUGGUAAUUGCAUUCGAUACUGGUUAGCUAGAGUAUGGGAGAGGAUGGUAGAAUUCCAGGUGUAGCGGUGAAAUGCGUAGAGAUCUGGAGGAAUACCGAUGGCGAAGGCAGCCAUCUGGCCUAAUACUGACACUGAGGUGCGAAAGCAUGGGGAGCAAACAGGAUUAGAUACCCGAGUAGUCC